UGGUUCUGGCAACGAUGAAGAACGCAGCAAAAUGCGAUAAAUAAUGUGAAUUGCAGAUUUCAGUGAAUCAUCAAGUUUUUGAACGCACAUUGCGCCCUCUGGUAUUCCGGAGGGCAUGCCUGUUCGAGCGUCAUUACAACUCUCAAAAUUUAUUUUGAUGUUGGGCGUAUUCGUCUUUCUUUUCUAAAGAGAGACGCGCCUUAAAAACAGCGGCGGUUGCAUGAAAACGCUGAGCGUAGUAGAAAUAUUCUCGCCCAUGUGUAAUCGUGUUUCCAGCCGGAAAACAUACAAUUUUCUAUGUUGACCUCGGAUCAGGUAGGGAUACCCGCUGA
rnacentral:misc_RNA from 1 species